rnacentral:rRNA from 1 species
AUUUUGGACAAUGGGGGCAACCCUGAUCCAGCCAUCCCGCGUGUGCGAUGAAGGCCUUCGGGUUGCAAAGCACUUUUGGCAGGGAAGAAAAGGCUCUGGCUAAUACCUGGAGCUCCUGACUGGCGCUGCAGGAUAAGCACCGGCUAACUACGUGCCAGCAGCCGCGGUAAUACGUUGGGUGCAAGCGUUAAUCGGAAUUACUGGGCGUAAAGCGUGCGCAGGCGGUUCGGCAAGAAGGAUGUGAAAUCCCAGGGCUUAACCUUGGAACUGCAUUCUUAACUGCCGGGCUAGAGUAUGUCAGAGGGGGGUAGAAUUCCGCGUGUAGCAGUGAAAUGCGUAGAGAUGCGGAGGAAUACCGAUGGCGAAGGCAGCCCCCUGGGAUAAUACUGACGCUCAUGCACGAAAGCGUGGGGAGCAAAC